GAUAAUUGUCAAGAUUUGUCCUGUUAUAAUGUAAGGUUCUUCAACAGGUCGUUUUCCAAUUCAUGUUAAUAAGCAUACAACAACUACUAUGAUUCAGAAUAAAAUCUGAUUUAUAGGAUUGAAUUGAAUACCUCGGAAUGGUGUUAUUGCAUUAUUCUUAUCAAUUAGAAUCUUAAUAAUUUUACCAUUUUAUAAUAAAACACCAUUCCGAGGUAUUCAAUUCUAUCCUAUAAAUCAGAUUUUAUUCUGAAUCAUAGUAGUUGUUGUAUGCUUAUUAACAUGAAUUGGAAAACGACCUGUUGAAGAACCUUACAUUAUAACAGGACAAAUCUUAACAAUUAUCUACUUUACAUACUUCUUAAUUAAUGUACAUGUUGCAAACGCAUGAGAUAAGCUAAUUAAGGAAUAAUAA